AGGUGCUCCCUGGCUCUGCCCCCUCCCAGUAGGGGUGUGCAUGGAACUGUUUGUGGCAGUUCGAUUUGAAUUCAAACAGAACUGAAUUCAAACGGAACCCCUGGUCCACGAACUGAUCUGUUAGAACUGGCUGCCGGUUCAGUUCAUGCUGUCGAACCAGUGCUGACACCGCACAGGGCUCCUUGGGAUGUGCGCUGCCCCAGCAGGAAGCUACAUGGGGUGGCAGAGAGCAGACAUGGGUAGUGACAACAAGGCCUUGAAUUUCUAACUGCACAGCAACAAUCCUGAAAGCCAUGAACAUAGGGAGUCACGUGGUCAAGUAUGAAAAAGCAUAGAGGUCACAGAGGGAAGACAGAGUGAGACCAGCUAUGAUAAAGAAAAGGAACAUUCAGCAGAAGAUUUCCUUUGGCUUGCUUAAAUCCAAACAUUAUACUACUUACCCCUGGAUGUUUAGACUGCCACAUCAUGUGCCCACCCUUGGCUAAUUAGAGAUUGGGGAAGCAAGUGCCAAUGUGUCUUAUCUCUCUGCACAUCCUUCCUCCACCCUGCCUUCCUCCAGUGCUGGUAUACAGGCUCCACCCUACCUUGGAACGCCACAGACUCCAGUUCAUGUCCUGCACAUCCACGAAAUGUGCUCACCAACACCUACAAUCAGCUUAUUUGUUUUUCAUAUUUGUAAACCACCUAAUAUUUACAUUCUAGGUGGUGUGCAUAAAAUUAUUUAAAAUACAACAGAAACUAAAAGAUA